rnacentral:lncRNA from 1 species
AAGGACAAGGGCCGAGGGCAGCCUCAGGCCAACACCCAGAGAGGGACUGCAGCCCUCGGUCCUGCUGCUGGGGCGUGAGCUCUCGUCUGAGUCAGCCUGGAAGAGACCCCUCUCCAGAGAGGUUGUGAUGACUGCAGAUCUGGCUGUCAUCUGGACAGCAGCCUGAGCGACAGCCUGGGCCACAGGGCCCACGGAGUGGUGGCCAGGCUCCUGAGCCACAGACACGGUGAGUCCUGAAGGCUAAGGACUGAAUCCGGUCCCUCUCAAAUCUGCAUGUUGAAGGCCUACCCUGCACUGUGGUUAUAUUUGGAGAUGUAGCCUUUAGGGAGGUAAUUGAGAUUAAAACUGAGGUCCAAGGGGGAGCCUGAUCUGCUAGGACUGGUGCCCUUGCCAGAGGAGCGAGACGGACACCAGGGCUGCACGUGGAGAGAAAUGUGUAUGAGGACGGUGAGAAGGUGACCCACGGGAGAGACCGCGAGAGGAAGUGAACCUGCUGAUACCCUCAUCUCGGUUUUCUGGCUUCCAGAACCCUGAGAGAAUAAAUAAACUUCCAGUCCGUGGUGCCCUGUUAUGAUACCCUCAGCUGACUGAUACAAGCUGCUCAGUUUGGGGGUCAUUUGUUACACAGCAAAGGACGACAAAUACAACCAUCAGCCGACACUGCACUCCCAUUCCCUCUGGGCUGGGAGCCGGGUAGAACAAGACCAAAGCCCUGGCCCAUAAGAAUGGAUCUCAGUCCACACGGAAAGACAAACACAGAAGAUGAAGUAAAAGGCUAGGGUGGGAGAAGACCCCUCAGGACGAAGACACCGCUUGGGGAGACGUGGAUGCAGGAGAGACCACGACACAUGGUCCUGCCCGCUCUGUGCUCCCCCUGGGGACACAGGCUCGGCCUUCUCAGAUACAGCAUCCUCUCCACGUUGUAGCUGAUGCGUGGACGCCGAAAGAGGUUGUGUUGGCUGAGGUCCCGAAGCUCAUCCCGGAGUCGCCAGGAUUCACGGGCAGGUCUGCAAGGGGAGAAGAGAAGAGCUCCUUGGAGGGUGUCAGCUCCUCAGGGGUCAGGCAGAGGGAGAAGCCAGGAGGGACACAGAGGCACCGUGGGAAUGAUAGGAGGAGAUUAAUAUUUCCCCAGAAUCAAAGAUAAGAGCUUUUCUCGGUUGGAAUCGUGUUUGAUGCCCAAGACAGCCUACCUCAGGGCUGCUCCCAAGUCACAUAUAUGGAAGUUCCCAGGCUAGGGGUCAAAUCAGAGAUGCAGCUGCCAGCCUACGCCACAGCCACAGCCACGCCAGAUCCGAGCGGCAUCUGUGACCUACACCACAGCUCACAGCAACCCUGGAUUCUUAACCCACUGAGCGAGGCCAGGGAUCGAACCCCUGCAUCCUCAUGGAUACCAGUCAGGUUCAUUACCACUGAGCCGUGGUGGGAUCUCCCCCAGAUAUCUUUUCUGCUCCACCCGGGAAAGGGAACAGGGAUAAUCUAGGGAGAGAUCAAACUUCCAGUCAUAAUCACGCCAUUGAUUUGCUUGGAUUUAAGGACCUGGGGUGAACUGUGUCCUCCCCCCUCAAAAGACAGGAUGAAGCCCCCCGGCCCCAAGAGCAACCUCCAUUGGCAGCGGGGUCAUUGCUGAUGUGACUGGUUAAGGGGCAGGAGGAGAGUGAGCCCUGAUGAGCCCUGAAGGAGGCGCCUGUGCAGACGGACAAGGAGGAGCCCCUCUCGGACCCCAGCGGAGACCGAGGUCAGGAAGGGCGGGGCACAGGGCGGCUGGGGCUUCUGGAAGCUGAAAGCGGCAAGAGGUUCUCGGGCAGGCUUCAGAGGGAGCCCCGCCUUCCUGAAGCCUUGAUCUUGGACAGUAAGAGAAUAGACCUCUGCUGUUUCACCCCACUCCCCAGCCCCAAAUCCCCCAUCCUCACAGCAAGAAUCCCAGUGUCUUACUUAAAGAAGACAAGGCGUGAAAGCAUUCAAAUGAAGACCUUCGUUAACUUUUUGUACAUACUGCACUACGCUUCGUCUUUAAAGGUCAGACAGUUUGCUUCAGAAAACAAAGAGAGAUUGAGUCUUGCAACAGUUUCGUGGCCACCUUGGCCCAGUUUUCUCAUCGUUAAAACAUCGCCGGGACUCGACGGCUGGCCUUCACGCCCCCCACACAGCCCAGCCGCUCACACCCCAUCAUCCGUGUUUGAUUUUUACCCCAUCUGCAUCCAGCGAGGAUGUGAGGCCGUGGCAUCAAAACAGCAUCAGGUUUUACGCCUUCCCAGCCCGGGAAGCCUGCAAAGACGAGACAGUAAAAUAUGUGCUAAUAAAUGGUUCUGCGUCUACUGCCUGCUGCAAGGGUGAUCAAUUUUUGUGACUCGUGUAUGAAGAUGUAUCUCUCUAAUACCGGGGACUCGGCUUCUUUAUUUAUUUCAUCAAUUUCGUUCUUUUGUUUUCCCGGCGAUUUCUAGGAAUGAUGAACGGAUGGCGGUUUAGCACAAACUGUGAACCUGCGCCCCCCCCACCCCCACCCCCACGCCCCGCCGCCUCUUGGCUCCCCGGGUGCAGCUUAGAGAGUCAUGGAUGGUGGAGGGUGUGUGCUGGUUCUCUCCGCCGUCUGUCUCUCUGACUCCAGGCGGCACUCUGGUUCUCGACGGGCUGCAGGGGACACAUCAGUUUUUGGUGACUCGGGAGGAGAGCACCACUCAGGGCCAGCAGGUCUGCUCUCCAGCCCUGCUCUGUCAUUGAGCAAGACGGCGAAGCUGGGAAUUGAGAUGCUGCCCUGAGCAGGUGGGGCAUCCCCCACCUGAUUCUCUCCUUUCCAGCUCAUUCCUCAAAGGCACGUUCAAAUCCAUUGCCGCUUAUCACUUCAUAUACUUUUUGCUUCACUGUUUGACUAAUUAACCAAAUGAUAAGUUGAUGUGAUAUCUUAUAGUUUAUAAAUCACGUCACUUUGAAAUAAUUAUCUUUUCUUUCUUUCUUUUUCUUUUUUUGGCCACCCCAUGGCCAGGGAUCCGAUCUGCACUGCAGGUGGGACCUACCCCACAGUGGCAACGGCAGAUCCUUCAACCGCUGUGCUGGGCCGGGCAGAGAACCUGUGUCCCGGCGCUGCAGAGACCCGAACGAUCCCAUUGCACCACAGCAGGAACGCCAACAGUAGGAAAACCACCCCAUUUCUCCCAGGUGGCCCCCUCAGGACCUGGAAAAGCUUUUCCCUAAGGGCUCACACCUUCUUUCCUCUGUUCCCCCUCCCCGUGACACAUGCACCUGCAGGCUGAUUCCUUUGCAUCCCCCUUGGGACCUAGCCUAAAUGCGGCCCGGGGGACACUCGCUGGCCAACCCGUCAGGGUGGGGAGGGCCUGGGGGCCAGGAUGCAAAGAGGAGUCUCCCGUGCUUAUUUCCUGCAGGAGACAAGCUUGCUGGGUGUUAAGUGGGAAAUUCACCUCAGUGAUCUGUCUUUUCAUCUGUCAGAUGAUUAGCAACAGGCCCUAUGCUCUCAGAUGAAGGGCUCACGGGACCCUGGGAAGCUGCGUUUGUCUCCUUUGGAGAAAGAAGGGCUGAGGGUGGGACUUAGGUGGCAGAGGGUGUGGCCAUAACCUUCCCCAGAUGGGAUGGGAUGGGGGAACCAGAAAGGGAGGGGGCAGUCCAUGUCCUUUUCAUGGAUGAAAAUGGCAAAACAUGGGAUUUCAUUCUUCCCUCCCUUUUCUCCAAAAUCAACGGAUUUUACAGCCUAUUCUCAAUCGAUUCUACUAAACAGAAUGUGCAGAUUAAAAGUGAAAAAGGCAGAGAGCCGGUGACCCGGCUUUGGGUUGAGUCACCUUUGGUUUCUUCUUUCAAUCUGGAAGUCCUUUACCUCCCAGUAUUCAUCGUAAUGGCUGGUUUCAAAUACGUCUUUCUUUAGUCUCUCAAGGAAAGUGCUCAGCAUUUUUGGUCGUGACUGGGUUGGGCAUCUUGUGGCCUCGGGACUCGUAUCCAGUUGGGGGUGGGGACAACCUGGGUGCCAGCCUGGCCUUGUAGCAGCAGCUCCAUCCUUACCACCUCGUGUGAGGUGUUGAUUUAAUGGGUCCAGGCAGAAAUCGGCCAGAUGAAUAAAAAAUUGAACCAGGAUCAGGGACAAGGCCAAGGAGAAGCAUCUGACAGCACCAGGGGGUCUUAUGAUCCACGAGGAACUUCAAAGCCAUCUGUCAUUACAGGGUAUCAAACUAAUUUUUUCUUUCGUGAACAGGUGUAUAUGUCCUGCAUAACUGGGAGAACUAAAUUUCACCUCUCGUGUUCCCUUUUCAUAGGUACAGCUAAGUAGAUAUUUCGACUGGAUAAGUUGUGGGCACGAGCGGGUAUGAAGAUUAUAAAUUAAUACCGUAAGGUCUGUACCUUAAGUAACAUCUUGCCUAUGGCCCUGGUGAUAGUUAUUUCUUACAGCCGUUCAGGUUAGAGCUUCAAAUAAAGGGGGGAAUUCGAAUGGAUCUGGGUCACGUGGAAUCUGUACAAAGCAAGAGCUAAAGCUUCUCCUGAAAGGAUACAGGAAUCCUGUGACCAGGUGGGGAGUUUGAGGUGGAGCAAAAGAGUCUGUAAUGAAAAGUGAAUUAAAGAACUGGUGCCUCUCCUAAUGACAAAGACCUCGGUAAAGUAGAAAUAUAAGAAGAAUUAGCAAAGUAGGUGAAUUUCUUGACACCUCUGUGUUAUGUGGUCGUCAGCCUGUUCCUCAUUUAUCUGCUUUGAGUUGACAGAGGGCUCUGGGUACACUGAAGAUGGUAGAGAGGCAGCUGUAUUAACAAACUGCCCAUUGCCAGCUGGUGAGGGGCCAUAUUUCCAUAGGUCUAUGUAAUCAGAGGCUACAGAAUUUAAUCAAGAGCGGCAGUAUUUCACGCUUGUGAGGCCAUUACUGUGAAAUAUGGGGGGUUUUUUGUUAAGCACAAGAAAAGAGCAGUACUUCCAUUGGAUUUUAAACCAAUACUAUUGAAACCUUUCAGAGAGCUUCCAUGGUCCUUGCACCAUGGUGCUCACCGAAUCCGAAAUCUUCGUCUGAAAUCUGAAAACAUGUUUCCAAUGCAGAUGAAGCUCUCCAUCCUGCAUCCUGCAGAGGCGUCCUGCGGCUCCUGCAGGUGAAGAAGAAAGGUGUCAAUUGUUCACUUUUCAUACUUCCUCAAGUAGAAGGUGAUGGCCAGGUGGCCCCUGUGUCGAGCUAAGCCAAUGUCAGGAAACACGGGGUCUGGGAGCUCACUGCUCUAGAGCCAAUAAGCAGGCAUGGUUGAUGGAAAGAAAAGUUUGCUUUACUUCGGAUGCAGCAACUGGGGGAAGGCGGACUCCUGUCCAGAGGCCAAAUCCCUCUGCCCUCCCCCCUGCCCCACUGACAAUCAGUGGGCAGGAGCUGUUCUAGGCACAGGGAAGGGGCACAUGCAGAAACAGCACCAUCAGCUCUGACAGUCGCCUCGGACUUUGCUGUGCAGAGGUCUGACCAGUGCCAUCUUCUCUGUUUUAAGUAUAGUCAGUCUUCAGUUCCAGGGUCGGUUUGUUAGCAUUUCCUUGAGCUGCAGUCUGGUCGGGAUGUAGUUUAUUUCUUCCACCUGGUGGGAGACUCAGUAUCUCCAAGACAGCUCAUAGGAUGUGGCUCAGAAUAGUGUUUAUAGCCCUUGAGAUGGAACUAAAGGUCCUUGACUUUGCUGAAUGACUUGGUCUCAUUUGACUGUUUUCUUUUGCUCCCAUAUUUUCUCACUUCUUUAAUUAAACUUAUUCUUUGACUAAAUUUUUUUCUACAGACAGAAGGCAGGCAGAGGACAUGGGGAGAGGGCCAUAGGGUCCUGUUCCAUUUCAAGAAGAGAGAGAGAAACUUCUAUUAUAAUUAUUAUCUUAAGGUAAUUCUUUCUGACUUGUCUUCCAAGCCAAAAUAUCAAGGAGUGAUACUAGACAGUGUGUGGGGCCCAGAAGCCACAUACAAUUGCCAACACCCCAUUUCACUUUCACCCGGCAGCAGCGCUUUCCAGUUUAGGGCCUGAAGCUCACGUCUUUAUGAGGAAGGACACAUAUAUAAGUUCUCUUAAAGAAAGGCACCAGAUAUAUUUGCAUGUGAGAGACUGAUAAUUCCCAUAGCAAAGAGGAAACCAUACCUCAAAAAGAUACAUGCACCCCAGUGUUCAUUGCAGCACAAUUCCCCAUAGCCAAGACAAGGAAACAACUUAAAUGUCCAUCAGCAGAGGACUGGGUAAAGAAGAUGCAGUACAAACACAAUGGAAUAUUACUCAGCCAUAAAGGAACGAAAUAAUGCCAUUUGGAGCAACGUGGAUGGACCCGGAGAUUAUCCUACUGAGUGAAGUAAGCCAGAAAGAGAAAGACAAACACCACAUGAUAUUACUUAUACGUGGAAUAAAAAAAUGAUACCAAUGAACUUAUAUGCAAAACAGAAAUAGACCCGCAGACUUGCCAAAAAAACUUAUGGUUACUAGACGGUGAAGGGCUAAGGGAGGGAUAAAUUAAGAAGUUAGGAUUAACGGAUGCAAACUACUAUAUCUAAAACAGAUAACCAACAAAGACUUACUGUAUAGUGCAGGGAACAAUACUUAAUAUUUUGUAAUAACCUAUAAGGGAAAAUAUGCUUAACUGAAUCCAUUUGCUGUACACCUGAAAUGAACACAAGAUUGUAAAUCAACUAUAUUUCAAUUAAAAAAGUAGAAUUG